CUCCAUUCUCCACCGUUCUCUCGCUCCGCCUUCCCACGCCACUUCUUGCGGCCGCUGCUCGCUCGCUCGCUCGCUCGCGUCCGCCUGAGCACCUCCGGCCGCCGCCUUCAGCGGUCGUCGCAAUUGGAUCGGUAGCUGAACAGCUCGCGUCGAUCCACCUCUUCCCUAUUAGCAUGGCGAAGCUCUCCGGCCUCCUCCUCCUCCUCCUGCUCCCCCUGUGCUUGGAUUCCCUAUUAGCAGUUGAAUCUCGUGAUCUGCUCUCGCGCCAGCUUCAUGAUAGCAACGCCUACCUCACAAAAGAGGAACACUGGUUCGAUCAGACGCUGGAUCACUUCUCCCCCACGGAUCAUCGUAAAUUUGGGCAGCGAUUUUAUGAAUAUGUUGAUUUUUUCGAAGUUGCGAAAGGGCCAAUCUUUCUUAAAAUUUGCGGUGAAUCUGCUUGCAACGGGAUCGUUAAUGAUUAUUUAUCUGUGAUUGCAAAGAAGUUUGGUGCUGCUAUAGUUUCGCUGGAGCAUAGAUACUAUGGAAAGAGUUCCCCUUUCAAGGAACUAACAACAGCUAAUCUUAGAUUUUUGUCCUCUAAACAGGCUUUAUUUGACUUGGCAGUUUUUCGCCAAUAUUACCAGGGAUAUUUGAAUGUAAACUAUAAUCUAUCUAGAGAAAGUCCUUGGUUUGUUUUUGGAGUUUCCUAUUCUGGAGCACUCAGUGCUUGGUUCCGCUUGAAAUUUCCUCAUCUAACUUGUGGAAGUCUUGCAAGCUCUGCAGUUGUCCUUGCAGUUUACAACUUCACAGAGUUUGACCAGCAGGUUGGUGAGUCAGCUGGUGCAGAAUGUAAAUCUGCUCUUCAACAAAUAACUUAUCUUGUAGAUGAAGAACUUAAAACUGAUAGCAAAUCAGUGAAAAAUUUAUUUGCAGCAGCUGAGCUUAAGAAUGAUGUUGAUUUCUUGUACUUAUUGGCUGAUGCUGCAGCAAUAGCGUUUCAGUAUGGGAAUCCAGAUGUACUAUGCUCUCCUAUUGUCGAUGCCAUGAAGAAUGGGAAGAAUUUACUGGAAGCAUAUGCUGAAUAUGUGAAAGAUUAUUAUAUUGGAAAAUUUGGUUCGUUGAUUGAAACUUAUGAUCAACAAUAUUUGAAGAAUACAACUCCUGGUGAAAAUAGUGCUGACAGAUUAUGGUGGUUUCAAGUCUGUACUGAGGUUGCAUAUUUUCAAGUGGCACCAAAAAAUGAUACUGUUCGUUCACCAAAUAUAGAUACAAGGUACCAUUUGGACCUUUGCAAAAAUGUUUUUGGAGAAGGGGUCUACCCUGAUGUGGAAAUAACCAAUAUAUAUUAUGGAGGCACAAGAAUUGCUGGUUCGAAGAUAGUCUUCACGAACGGCUCACAGGAUCCUUGGCGUCAUGCAUCUAAGCAAAAGUCAUCAGAAGAUUUGCCUUCCUACUUAAUCAAAUGCCAUAACUGUGGGCAUGGCAGUGAUUUCAGAGGUUGCCCUCAGUCACCUUUGAAUAUUGAAGGCAAUGCCGACAAGUGCACGUCACCUGAAGCAGUGCAGAAAGUGAGACAACAAAUCAUACAAAAUAUUGACUUGUGGCUAUCUGAAUGUCAAAUUGCAGGUUCAAAAUGACCGAGAAAAAUAAAUUUAUACAAUUAGGAUCAAAUGUCACGGGGGUGCUAUUUGGAGCUGAUUCUGAUGAGCUAGACUCGUUUCUCUCGCCGACAACGAUGGCCUCCAGUUACUGAUCGCUUUAAGUGAUAUAUAACUCCCUACAUCUUGAACUAGAGAUGACGAAGUCUAAAGGUUUUGGAAGGGUUUAAGUGUUCGCCACAGACGCUUUGAGUUAUUGCAUUCGACGAUGCUUUGAGUUCUUGCAUUCACAUGGAAUUAGCUGACGACAUUGGCAAGCUGUAAUUUGAUCGUCGGAUGGCGGCACUUUGGCAGUCCUUAUCUGUUUGUCGCAGUUGAUGUUUUAUUUAUUUUCGUUGCAUAUCUCCAAUAAGAAAUAAAAAUUGAUCUAAGACAGUUGCUGUUGUUUUUGUGAUCAUCAUCUCUAAUAAAAACAAAUAUAUGCAUAUCUUUAAGAGCA